rnacentral:misc_RNA from 1 species
CCACCACGAAGACGCAGCACAAGGUGAAGAGUGGACUCCUUUUGAAUAUUGUAGUCGGCUAGUGUCCGUCCAUCUUCGAGCUGCUUGCCUGCGAAGAUCAACCUUUGCUGGUCCGGGGGAAUACCUUCUUUGUCUUGAAUCUUAGCUUUGACAUUGUCAAUAGUGUCGCUCGAUUCAACUUCAAGCGUGAUCGUCUUCCCCGUAAGAGUUUUCACGAAGAUCUGCAUUUUGGCGGCGGCUCUAUCUCUGUUACCCCUU